UUGACUGAUCUACCUGACACCUAAGGACUUCCUUUUUCUUCUUUUAUUUUUAAUUACAAUACAAUUAGCCCUUUUUAUUUUGAACUUGGAAAGAAAGAUUUAUGUGUAUGUUAUGGAUGUACGUAUACGUUUUUAUAUAUUGCUUCUCAUGAAUGGUUUUAAAGUUAUAAUACUAUAUAUAAAUCUUGUUGCCUGACCAUCAAUGAAACUGGAAAUCUUGUAAGGUGUAUGUAAGUAUAGAAAUCUGCCACUGCAGCUAGUUAAUCAGGAGGAAUAAAUGAGAGCUUGGCCGUAUUUCUAACUUUCCCAGAUUUCUUGUUGAUGAAAUAGGCACUUUAAGGUUAAAACAAAUUGUUUUAGAGCCAAAAUACCGAACAAUUUCUUUUACAAUUCCAAGAUGUUCUUCUCCUUUUGUCCUUUUCUUUUUAAAUCCAAUUUUCCAUUGUCUAUCAAGUUUGAGUAAGGGGGAUUAAGCCUUUCAAUUAACUCUUAAGAGAAUUUGGUUUUGCAGAUAUGGAAUCUAUAAGGUAAUUUUAGUUGGGUUUUCCAUUACAAGGCUAGUAAUUAAGUGAGCAAUGAAGUUCCAGAGUUGUGAUGGUCCUCUCUUGUGUGAUAUCUUUUUUUUCAAGCUAAUGAUGUGGUACCAACACUAACAUUAACACUAAUUGACGGGCAACGACAUUAAAAUAAGGUUAGCAAAAUGAUAUCCACAAUUCUAAUCCUCAACUCUAUGUGAUAGAGACAAGGUAAAAUAUGGUCAACUUUGUGUUUUUAGAUAUUCACACGUCUGUGUCUAUCCAAUAGCCAUUGCUUACUUUCUUAAUCACUUUUGUGAUUGAAUUAUUGCACUUAAUAGCAUUAAUGAAGAGAGUUCUAAUCCCGCAAAGCACCAGUAAAACUACCAUGGCAAAAAUCUAAAUCUCUGUUGAAAUUAACUUAUGCUAGUAUUUCAUUUUCACAAUUAGACUUGCAUCUUCAAGAAAAAACGUGCUAGCUAUGUGAAGUGUGUGCACUGUGCAGACAUGCAUAGUUAUUGCCUUCUUUGGUCAAGGGAGAAUGCGUGCUCUGAAAACAGGUCCAUAACUUCAUAGUAACAUCCUACAGUUCUGAAUGUUAGGGCUUUGUUGACAUGACACUUGAUUUUCUUUUUAUUUUUUGAGGAAGUGCACCUUCAUUUUCACCUACUUGUCUAACCUUCCUAUCAAAAAAAUUUUAAAAAUUAAGUGUCACCUUCA